CCUACGGGGGGCUGCAGUGGGGAAUAUUGGACAAUGGGCGAAAGCCUGAUCCAGCCAUGCCGCGUGUGUGAAGAAGGCCUUCGGGUUGUAAAGCACUUUCAGUGGGGAAGAAAGCCUUGGGGCUAAUACCCUCGAGGAAGGACAUCACCCACAGAAGAAGCACCGGCUAACUCCGUGCCAGCAGCCGCGGUAAUACGGAGGGUGCGAGCGUUAAUCGGAAUUACUGGGCGUAAAGCGCGCGUAGGCGGUCUGAUAAGCCGGUUGUGAAAGCCCCGGGCUCAACCUGGGAACGGCAUCCGGAACUGUCAGGCUAGAGUGCAGGAGAGGAAGGUAGAAUUCCCUGUGUAGCGGUGAAAUGCGUAGAGAUCGGGAGGAAUACCAGCGGCGAAGGCGGCCUUCUGGACUGACACUGACGCUGAGGUGCGAAAGCGUGGGUAGCAAACAGGAUUAGAUACCCGAGUAGUC
rnacentral:rRNA from 1 species